rnacentral:rRNA from 1 species
UACAGAGGUCUCAAGCGUUGUUCGGAUUCACUGGGCGUAAAGGGUGCGUAGGUGGUUUUUUAAGUCCGUUGUGAAAUCCCUGGGCUCAACCUGGGAAUGGCAGUGGAUACUGGAAAGCUAGAGUGCGGUAGAGGGUAGUGGAAUUCCCGGUGUAGCAGUGAAAUGCGUAGAGAUCGGGAGGAACACCAGUGGCGAAGGCGGCUACCUGGACCAGCACUGACACUGAGGCACGAAAGCGUGGGGAGCAAACAGG